CUGGAGUUAAUGGAUGUAACAGCAUUGGUUGGGAUGAACUGCUACUCUAUCCAUCAAUAAUAUAUGGAAUAUGGUUAUCAUACUAUGUACUAAUAGUGUUCUAUUGGAAGGAAAAGAUUAUAAAAGAGAAGAAAUACAUGACAGCAUUCACAAUAAUGUCACAAGAGAAGAAAGGCGGUCUUAUAUAUUUAAUUACUAACUGUCUGGGGCUAAAGUAUCAGAAACAAAUGUACUUUGUUGCUUACACAGUAAUGGGAUGCCUCUUCUUCAUACUAGCAUACUUAUGCUACAUAUCUUUAGUGUAUAAUUACAUUUUCUUUCUGGGGUUUCUCCUGGUUGCCUGUUACAAUGGAGCUACUUUCUAUAUCAAGGUUGUUGGGAAAGAAUAUUAUAAAAAUGAAGAAAAGAAAAACGAAUGAAUUAUACAGUUUAUACUGAGUAGCUAAUAUGUCAUUUUGUUAUUAUCCCAGUGCAUCAUUAAUUGAAUUACAAUUUAUUUCAAUGUGUUAACCAGUGUCAUCAUAUAGACCACUGUACUAUGUAUGGAGUUGUUUUGAAGUAUAGUCGUACAGUGAAGUACCAUAAACUCCUAUAAUACAAUAUUAAACCAGCCUCUGGGGUCACAGGCUGACUACGUGCAAGACUGAUUUAAUAACAGUCAAGACAUGUAGUUGGAGCUGUUUUCUGGUUGCUAUCCCUUCUAUAAGUUAGUAAUAGUCAGCCUAAUUUGACUCAUAUACUAUAGUGUUGAAGGAAUUUGGCCCUUAAUAAUUGAAGGAAAGGAGAAAUAGAGAGAAAGCCAAGAAAGGGAAUGUUUGCUAACAAAGAUAGCAAUGGAGAGACUGGUACUGAUGCUGUAUACAUUAGGAACCAGUUUGAGUAUGAUAGGAUGCAGUCAAUACAUGAAGAUAUUGUUGCUAUUGAGAGAUUCCAUGAGAUGAAGGACUCAAGGGUAGACACCAUCAUCUAUACUGUGUUUGUUUUUGAGGCAUUAGUAACAGGAUUUCUAGCUGGGAUGA